UACAGAGGUGGCAAGCGUUGUUCGGAAUUACUGGGCGUAAAGCGCGUGUAGGCGGCUCUUCAAGUCAGGCGUGAAAGCCCCGGGCUCAACUCGGGAACUGCGCUUGAUACUGUCGAGCUAGAGUGUGGAAGGGGCGAUUGGAAUUCCGUGUGUAGCGGUGAAAUACGUAGAUAUACGGAGGAACACCAGAGGCGAAGGCGGAUCGCUGGGCCAACACUGACGCUGAGACGCGAAAGCUAGGGUAGCAAACGGG
rnacentral:rRNA from 1 species